UACGGGGGGGCAAGCGUUGUUCGGAAUUACUGGGCGUAAAGGGCUCGUAGGCGGCCAACUAAGUCGGACGUGAAAUCCCCAGGCUCAACCUGGGAACUGCGUCUGAUACUGGAUGGCUUGAAUCCGGGAGAGGGAUGCAGAAUUCCAGGCGUAGCGGUGAAAUGCGUAGAUAUCUGGAGGAAUACCGGUGGCGAAGGCGGCAUCCUGGACCGGCAUUGACGCUGAGGAGCGAAAGCCAGGGAGCAAAGCGGG
rnacentral:rRNA from 1 species